AUAAAUUGUUCCGCAGUACGCCGC
rnacentral:siRNA from 1 species